rnacentral:rRNA from 1 species
UUUGGAGGGGSCAGUCUGGUGCCAGCAGCCGCGGUAAUUCCAGCUCCAAUAGCGUAUAUUAAAGUUGUUGCAGUUAAAAAGCUCGUAGUUGAAUUUCGGGAUUGACACAUCGGUCGUGCCYUAAGGGGUAUGAACUGGUGUAGUCAAUUUCUCACCUUCUGGAGAACCGCGAUGCCCUUAAUUGGGUGUCACGGGGAACCAGGACCUUUACUUUGAAAAAAUUAGAGUGUUUAAAGCAGGCAUUUUGCUUGAAUACAUUAGCAUGGAAUAAUAAAAUAGGACGGCAUGAUUCUAUUUUGUUGGUUUCUAGGAUCACCGUAAUGAUUAAUAGGGAUAGUUGGGGGCAUUAGUAUUCAAUUGUCAGAGGUGAAAUUCUUGGAUUUAUUGAAGACUAACUACUGCGAAAGCAUUUGCCAAGGAUGUUUUCAUUAAUCAAGAACGAAAGUUAGGGGAUCGAAGACGAUCAGAUACCGUCGUAGUCUUAACCAUAAACUAUGCCGACUAGAGACACGACACUCCACC